CCUACGGGGUGCAGCAGUUAGGCAUAUUGGUCAAUGGACGAGAGUCUGAACCAGCCAAGUAGCGUGAAGGAUGACUGCCCUAUGGGUUGUCAACUUCUUUUAUAUGGGAAUAAAAUGUUCCACGUGUGGGAUUUUGUAUGUACCAUAUGAAUAAGGAUCGGCUAACUCCGUGCCAGCAGCCGCGGUAAGACGGAGGAUCCGAGCGUUAUCCGGUUUUAUUGGGUUUAAAGGGAGCGUAGGUAGAUUUGUAAGUCAGUUGUGAAAGUUUGCGGCUCAACCGUAAAAUUGCAGUUGAAACUGGCAGUCUUGAGUACAGUAGAGGUGGGCGGAAUUCGUGGUGUAGCGGUGAAAUGCUUAGAUAUCACGAAGAACUCCGAUUGCGAAGGCAGUUCACUGGACUGCAACUGACACUGAGGCUCGAAAGUGUGGGUAUCAAACAGGAUUAGAUACCCCGGUAGUC
rnacentral:rRNA from 1 species